UACGAAGGUGGCAAGCGUUGUUCGGAAUCACUGGGCUUAAAGCGCACGUAGGCGGUCCAUCAAGUGCUUUGUGAAAUCCCGCAGCUCAACUGCGGAAUUGCUUGGCAUACUGUUGGACUUGAGGCAGGUAGGGGCAUAUGGAACUCUUGGUGGAGCGGUGGAAUGCGUAGAUAUCAAGAGGAACGCCGGUGGCGAAAGCGAUGUGCUGGGCCUGUCCUGACGCUGAGACGCGAAAGCGUGGGGAGCAAACAGG
rnacentral:rRNA from 1 species